UACCUCAGUAACGGCGAGUGAAGCGGUAACAGCUCAAAUUUGAAAUCUGGGUCUUUCAGGCUCCGAGUUGUAAUUUGUAGAAGAUGCUUCGGGUGCGGCUCCGGUCUAAGUUCCUUGGAACAGGACGUCAUAGAGGGUGAGAAUCCCGUAUGUGAUCGGCCGCUUGCGCCCAUGUGAAGCUCUUUCGACGAGUCGAGUUGUUUGGGAAUGCAGCUCCAAAUGGGUGGUAUAUUUCAUCUAAAGCUAAAUAUUGGCCAGAGACCGAUAGCGCACAAGUAGAGUGAUCGAAAGAUGAAAAGCACUUUGGAAAGAGAGUUAAACAGUACGUGAAAUUGUUGAAAGGGAAGCGCUUGCAACCAGACUUGCGUGUUGUUGAUCAUCCGGGGUUCUCCCCGGUGCACUCGACCUCACUCAGGCCAGCAUCGGUUUCGGUGGUUGGAUAAAGGCCUUGGGAAUGUAGCUCCUCUCGGGGAGUGUUAUAGCCCUCGGUGCAAUGCAGCCUACCGGGACCGAGGACCGCGCUUCGGCUAGGAUGCUGGCGUAAUGGUUGUAAGCGACCCGUCUUGAAACACGGACCAAGGAGUCUAACAUCUAUGCGAGUGUUUGGGUGUCAAACCCAUACGCGUAAUGAAAGUGAACGGAGGUGAGAACCCUUAAGGGUGCAUCAUCGACCGAUCCUGAUGUCUUCGGAUGGAUUUGAGUAAGAGCAUAGCUGUUGGGACCCGAAAGAUGGUGAACUAUGCCUGAAUAGGGUGAAGCCAGAGGAAACUCUGGUGGAGGCUCGCAGCGGUUCUGACGUGCAAAUCGAUCGUCAAAUUUGGGUAUAGGGGCGAAAGACUAAUCGAACCAUCUAGUAGCUGGUUCCUGCCG
rnacentral:rRNA from 1 species